rnacentral:tmRNA from 1 species
GGGGAUGAACAGUUUCGAUGGCGGGGAUUCAUGAGCGUUGCCGUGGUAAGCUUCGCUCACCCUGUCAGACCCGGGUGCGAUUCCCGGCAUCUCCACCA